GUAAGGAAUAUUGGGCAAUGGAGGCAACUCUGACCCAGCCAUGCCGCGUGAAGGAUUGACGGCCCUCUGGGUUGUAAACUUCUUUUGUACGGGAAUAACCCUCCGAACGUGUUCGGAGCUGAAGGUACCGUAAGAAUAAGGAUCGGCUAACUCCGUGCCAGCAGCCGCGGUAAUACGGAGGAUCCAAGCGUUAUCCGGAUUUACUGGGUUUAAAGGGUGCGUAGGCGGAUUGAUAAGUCAGUGGUGAAAUCCUGCAGCUUAACUGCAGAACUGCCAUUGAUACUGCCAGUCUGGAGUAUGGUUGAGGUAGCUGGAAUGUGUCAUGUAGCGGUGAAAUGCUUAGAGAUGACACAGAACACCGACGGCGAAGGCAGGUUACCAACCCAUUACUGACGCUGAGGCACGAAAGCGUGGGGAUCAAACAGGAUUAGAAACCCCGGUAGUCC
rnacentral:rRNA from 1 species